rnacentral:rRNA from 1 species
UGCGCAGGUGGCCUCGCAAGUCGAGUGUGAAAUCCCCGAGCUUAACUUGGGAAUUGCGCUCGAAACUACGGGGCUUGAGUGUGGCAGAGGGAGGUGGAAUUCCACGUGUAGCGGUGAAAUGCGUAGAGAUGUGGAGGAACACCAAUGGCGAAGGCAGCCUCCUGGGCCAACACUGACACUCAUGCACGAAAGCGUGGGGAGCAAACAGGAUUAGAUACCCUGGUAGUCCACGCCCUAAACGAUGAUGACUAGUUGUUGGGGGAGUUAAAUCCCUUAGUAACGCAGCUAACGCGCGAAGUCAUCCGCCUGGGGAGUACGGUCGCAAGAUUAAA